ensembl:misc_RNA Metazoa_SRP Metazoan signal recognition particle RNA
GCCAGGCGUGUUGGCACAUGCCUGUAAUCCCAGCUACUCAGGAGGCUGAGGCAGGAGAAUUGCUUGAACCCAGGAGCUGGAGGUUGCAGUGAGCCAAGAUUGCGCCACUGCACUCCAGCCUGGGUGACAAAGCAAGACUCCUUCUCAA